UUGAAUUUUAAUGAAGAGUUUGGUUGUAGCUGCGCCCAUUCAUUUGGGCAUGUGCACAGCCUUCCUCUUCCAUCCCACACACACCUGUGAACCUGUGAGACAGAGAUGGGGAAUUUACUUGCUGCUUUUUGGAAUACAAAGGCAAUAGGUUAUUGGACCCCCCCCCUCUGUCUACUCAAUUAAUAUAAACUCAAUUUAUUUUAAAACGAAUGUAAUGGGCUGUAACACAUCUCAUAC
rnacentral:misc_RNA from 1 species